GACGAACGCUGGCGGCGUGCUUAACGCAUGCAAGUCGAACGGAAAGGCCCUGCUUUUGUGGGGUGCUCGAGUGGCGAACGGGUGAGUAACACGUGAGUAACCUGCCCUUGACUUUGGGAUAACUUCAGGAAACUGGGGCUAAUACCGGAUAGGAGCUCCUGCUGCAUGGUGGGGGUUGGAAAGUUUCGGCGGUUGGGGAUGGACUCGCGGCUUAUCAGCUUGUUGGUGGGGUAGUGGCUUACCAAGGCUUUGACGGGUAGCCGGCCUGAGAGGGUGACCGGCAACAUUGGGACUGAGAUACGGCCCAGACUCCUACGGGAGGAAGCAGUGGGGAAUAUUGCACAAUGGGCGGAAGCCUGAUGCAGCAACGCCGCGUGCGGGAUGACGGCCUUCGGGUUGUAAACCGCUUUCGCCUGUGACGAAGCGUGAGUGACGGUAAUGGGUAAAGAAGCACCGGCUAACUACGUG
rnacentral:rRNA from 1 species